UUUCAGUUCAGUUCGGCAUUCCGAACUGCAUUCCGAACUGCAUUCCAUACUGCUGGGUUUUUUUUUUUUAAUGCUGUUUUAGGGUUAGGGAUAGCAUAGAGUUAAGGUUAAGGAUAAGAUUAGGGUUAGUAUAUGGUAAGAGUUAUUCUAAGCAGAGGUUAAGGGGUAUCGAUAAGGUUAAGGAUAAGAUUAGGGUUAGUAUACAUUAAGAGUUACUCUAAGCAGAGGUUAAGGGGUAUCGAUGGUAAAGAGUUAGUGGGGGUUGGUAUAGGGUUAGUGUUAACUACCAAAUUUAAUUUAGAUUCUAG